GAUGAACGCUGGCGGCGUGCCUAAUACAUGCAAGUCGAGCGAACAGACGAGGAGCUUGCUCCUCUGACGUUAGCGGCGGACGGGUGAGUAACACGUGGAUAACCUACCUAUAAGACUGGGAUAACUUCGGGAAACCGGAGCUAAUACCGGAUAACAUGUUGAACCGCAUGGUUCAACAGUGAAAGACGGUCUUGCUGUCACCUAUAGAUGGAUCCGCGCCGCAUUAGCUAGUUGGUAAGGUAACGGCUUACCAAGGCAACGAUGCGUAGCCGACCUGAGAGGGUGAUCGGCCACACUGGAACUGAGACACGGUUCAGACUCCUACGGGAGGCAGCAGUAGGGAAUCUUCCGCAAUGGGCGAAAGCCUGACGGAGCAACGCCGCGUGAGUGAAGAAGGUCUUCGGAUCGUAAAACUCUGUUAUUAGGGAAGAACAAAUGUGUAAGUAACUAUGCACGUCUUGACGGUACCUAAUCAGAAAGCCACGGCUAACUACGUG
rnacentral:rRNA from 1 species